rnacentral:piRNA from 1 species
UACUUGGACCAAUGGGCUUGUGGAAU